AUUGAACGCUGGCGGCAUGCUUUACACAUGCAAGUCGGACGGCAGCACAGAGAAGCUUGCUUCUUGGGUGGCGAGUGGCGAACGGGUGAGUAAUAUAUCGGAACGUACCGAGUAAUGGGGGAUAACUAAUCGAAAGAUUAGCUAAUACCGCAUAUUCUCUGAGGAGGAAAGCAGGGGACCUUCGGGCCUUGCGUUAUUCGAGCGGCCGAUAUCUGAUUAGCUAGUUGGUGGGGUAAAGGCCUACCAAGGCGACGAUCAGUAGCGGGUCUGAAAGGAUGAUCCGCCACACUGGGACUGAGACACGGCCCAUACUCCUACGGGAGGCAGCAGUGGGGAAUUUUGGACAAUGGGCGCAAGCCUGAUCCAGCCAUGCCGCGUGUCUGAAGAAGGCCUUCGGGUUGUAAAGGACUUUUGUCAGGGAAGAAAAGGCUGUUGCUAAUACCGACAGCUGAUGACGGUACCUGAAGAAUAAGCACCGGCUAACUACGUG
rnacentral:rRNA from 1 species